rnacentral:lncRNA from 1 species
CAGGCAUAGUGCACUCCUCCUCGAGCCGUUGUUGCGCUUCAUCGAUGAUCCAGCAGCUUUGGCGAUGAAAUUGCGCGCCACUAGCAGAUUGACAAAUGCAUCAAUGACGCCAACCAUUUCGCCCUUGCCAUCUUCAGCACCCUCGCCGUCCUCUCUGUCGGCCGCAACAAGGAGAAAGACACGUUCGUAGGUAAAAGGAAAGACCCCUAUUUAUGAACUGCCCACCGACAAUGAGGAAGAGAAAUGGGAGAUGAAACCUGAAAUUCUAAAGCAACUCCAAGACAGAAAAAUGCAACCUAAGACCACCACAUUAGUUUUGGAGUCUUUAGAAGACAGUAGCAAGGACAAGGCUCGACUACUAAUGAAAAAGUAACAACGGGUCAGGAGGCAAAAGCCACUAGCAGUGAGGAGACUCAACCUGCUUCUCCUCCAAAGAAGAAAUAGAAAAAGUGAAUGCCCAAGAUAGCUGGUGGGAAGACCAGAUAUUUGCCCGAAGAGCAGAACCUAUACGACGACUUCAAUUUUGAAGGUGAUGAUAAGGUCAGGUACAAAAUUUUUCUCCAUUUUGAUAUACAUGCUUGUAAAAGAAUAAGUGAUGCUGCCUUGACCCAAUUGCAAUUAUAUAAUGAGGUUUAUGGUUUAAUUGACAAUAUUGGGUGGAGAAAAUUUUGUCAUAAACUGUCCUUCCUACGUUGAACUGUGCGGUGAGUUUUAUGCCACCUAUGAAUUUCCUUUUGAUGUGCAGGAUUUCAAUUUGAAUAUGCCUAUAAUUCCUUUUAGAUUGCAAAUAAAAUGGUCAAUUGUUCAAUCACAAGUUUUAAUUUGCAUUUAGGUGUCUAUGAUGACGAAUAUAUUAAAACUGUUGAGUACCUAGACUCAUUAUGUGAUUGUCCAACUAGUUGGGAUCCAAUUUUAGGGAAACCUGAGUUUGAAUUUAAGGGUGGGAAAUCUAAAACUAAUGAUAUCCAGAGCCCUGCCCUUAGAUAUAUUCACAUGUUCCUUUGUUAUACAUUUUCUGGGAAAAAUAAAGAUCCCACCAAGCUGAAAAAGUAUGAACUUUUCUUUUUGUGGUGCAUAUUGAAUAAAAGAAAAGUUAAUUUUGGUUUCUGGUUAACCUCCCAAAUUAAAAGUAUAUCUGAUGCUAGGCGUGGUAUAUAUCUAGGUUUUGUGAUUUCCAUUCUAGUUAUAAGAUUGGGUGUGCUAGAUACAUAAAACACUAAUUUGCAUGUAGCUGAGCAUAUUCUCCCUCUUGAUAUACCUGCACUUAAUUCUAUGAGCUUAUUUUGCCUCAAUGAAAGGAAAGAAAUUGUGUUUCGUCCUCUAGGUCCUAUAAUUCCACCAUAAUCGCGCUUAUUUUAGAUAGAGGACAAAUCAGUCCCAACUUCCUCAGCAGAACCUCCCCGAACCUAAUGAUCAAGCCCGCCUAGCCAGAAUUGAGGCAAAAAUGCACCACAUUAAUGCAAAGUUGGAUGCCAUCCUUUCUCACUUGGGGUUGCCCCAGCCACCACCUGCUUGAGUUUUAGGCUACUUACUCCUCAGAGAAGUUCUCUUUGACUCACUUUUGCUAAUUUGUUUAUAAAAUUUCCCCGUUACUUGAAUUUUUUUCAUAUUGAGGACACUAUGAGGAGUAAGUAUGGAG